CCGCGAGCAAACAGCACCUUUAUGUCAAGCUAUGCACCUCUCAGCCCUGACUGUUAACAACUCUGUGAAUGAAGCAGAACCUAAAGGAGAAACGUAAAGAGGAGCACUGGGAGUGGCCAGAACUUCUCCCUCUAGUGGCCAUGAGACCAUAGUGAAGAAGCAGAACCCCUCCUUCACAACAUCCAGAAGUGAGGAACUCUCUCCAGGAGGUAGGUAUUUCAUAUCAGCAUACCAUAAAGAAUAGACCCCACAAGAGCAAAUUAAGUGUGUUUAUAAACUUCAACAGUAGAAAGUCCCAGGACAUGUAGAUUAGCAAAC